CUGUGGGUCAGGAAUCAAGGAAAAGAUUUGUUGGAUGCCUUUGCCUUAAUGUCUCUUCAAGGCUGCAGUCAAGGUGUUGGCUGGGGCUGCAGUUUCAUCUGAAGACUCAACUGGGAAAGGAUCUGUUGUCAAGCUCAUUUGUAUGGUUAAUUGUAAAUUUAUGAAAUAGCACAAAGCCAAGUUGAAGACAAUAUCUUCCCUAAUAACAGUAGUGCAAUGACAGCCAGCCAGAAAAGCUCUCCACCUUGGCAGCAAUGAGACUAAGACUUUUAUGCCUGAAUUGCUAUCUUUUUUUUCCAGAGUAAAGAGGGAGUACAUGAAAAAAGAAACCAGGAUUUGCCUUAAAGAUCUCUAUGAAAAAAAAGUAAUCAUUUAAAA